rnacentral:rRNA from 1 species
AUUGAACGCUGGCGGCAGGCCUAACACAUGCAAGUCGAGCGGAUCGCCGGACGGGUGAGUAAUGCCUAGGAAUCUGCAUGGUAGUGGUGGAUAACGUCCGCAACCGGGCGCUGAUACCGCAUCCUAUCAGAUGAGCCUAGGUCGGAUUAGCUAGUUGGUGGGGUAAAGGCAUACCAAGGCGACGAUCCGUAACUGGUCUGAGAGUAUGAUCAGUACCAGUGGAACUGAGACACGGUCCAGACUCCUACGGGAGGCAGCAGUGGGGAAGAUUGGACAAUGGGCGAAAGCCUGAUCCAGCCAUGCCGCGUGUGUGAAGAAGGUCUUCGGAUUGUAAAGCACUUUAAGCUGGGAGGCGUUACCAGCAGAAUAAGCACCGGCUAACUCCGUGCCAGCAGCCGCGGUAAUUC